CUGCUUUUGCUGCUGCUGCUGCUGUGCCUGGCCGGGGGCAGCCUGCAGGGGGGAGUGAAACCGCAGGCAAACGGAGCCCUAGGGCGUCUCUACCUGCCAUCGCUGAUCCGGGGACCAUACACCGGCUAUGGACCCCAAGGACUGCAGCCGGGACCGGGAGCUCAGAACGGGUUUGGAGUGGCACCAGGUGUACGGGUGAAGCCGGGCAAAGCAGGCUAUGGGGUCCCCGCUGGUUAUGGUGCAGGUAGGAGCGCCCCCAUCUCCC